GAUUGACAUAUUAGGCUAUAGAAUAUGUAAACAAUGGUACAAAUUGUAGACUUGUAGUCCCGCCUACUAUCAUUCAUCUUAAGGAUGUACCAUUCAUGAUGAAACCAUCUAUAAACUAUAUCCAGAAAUAUCUAUGUUCUCAUGCAAAAUCGAAAACGUGUUCAACAAUCUGCAUACAAGUUUAAGCCAAAUACAGAAACCAACACUUGAAUGUACCAGCGAAGCAUAUAUAUAAAAACUAUAUAGAAACAACUAUUGCACAACUAUUAUAUUACUCACUACAAAGAUAAACACAUGCACUAUGCGAAAUGAAUUCUCAAUAACUGAAUGAAAUUCUCGAACGAACCAAUGAGACGUGGCGGCGCACUACCUGCUAGUAUGUUGUAUGCACUUAUUGUAUUGUAGUGUGUAGAUAUUAAAGUUGUUGAAUUAAAGUGUGUAUUCCAAGUGUGCGACUUAUGUCUUUAGGGUGCUAAUAUUACUUCUAAAUACAACUGUGGCGGGUGCAAGGUAAAGCCCGCCACAUGUAAGAAUCAGAAUAGUGGCACGUGCGAGUUGCCGUGUGUCACAUGUAAGUAUAUGAUUAGCGACGGACGCGCGCCCACCACUGAUGCCAUAAUAGCAGUGCAGGUGGCGUCCGCCCCUAAUAGGCUUGCCCGUCACUGCUGGGCUUUUUGCAGUGCAGGUGGCGUCCGCCCCUAAUAGGCUUGCCCGUCACUGCUGGGCUUUUUGCACCUGUCAGUGCUGGGCUUUUUUGCACCUGUCACUGUUGGGCAUUCCUGCACUAAUGCACCCCUAGUCCUUAAACACUAAAUCCCAACACAAUGCCGUUGAAAUAACCUGAAGCCACCGCCC
rnacentral:lncRNA from 1 species